rnacentral:rRNA from 1 species
AUUGAACGCUGGCGGCAGGCCUAACACAUGCAAGUCGAACGAGUGGCGGACGGGUGAGUAAUGUCUGGGAAACUGCCUGAUGGAGGGGGAUAACUACUGGAAACGGUAGCUAAUACCGCAUACCAUCGGAUGUGCCCAGAUGGGAUUAGCUAGUAGGUGGGGUAAAGGCUCACCUAGGCGACGAUCCCUAGCUGGUCUGAGAGGAUGACCAGCAACACGGGAACGGAGACCCGGCCCAGACUCCUAGGGGAGGCAGUGGGGGGGAAGAUUGCACAAUGGGCGCAAGCCGGAUGCAGCCAUGCGGCGUGUAUGAAGAAGGCCUUCGGGUUGUAAAGUACUUUAAGCGGGGAGGCGUUACCCGCAGAAGAAGCACCGGCUAACUCCGUGCCAGCAGCCGCGUAAUAC